CUGCAGAAGGAUCAUUGU
rnacentral:rRNA from 1 species